UAUUGGCACUGCUCAACCUGGCCCUCAGGAUCCUGGAGGACCGUCUGAAGUCUCUUGGGGAGCCUGUAGGCUAACAAGGACACACCAUGCGCUGCUUCCCAACCACCGAGAGAGAGAGGCAGCAGCAUGAGCCCUCUACAGUAACAACUCCUCUAUCCACCUCAUUUGACCAAGAGAUCCACGGGAUGGAACCACCGUUCAGCACAUUGUCCAAUAAAUAUUUACUGAAAUGAA
rnacentral:lncRNA from 1 species